AGCGAACGCUGGCGGCAGGCCUAACACAUGCAAGUCGAACGAAGUCUUCGGACUUAGUGGCGGACGGGUGAGUAACACGUGGGAACGUACCUUUAGGUUCGGAACAACUCAGGGAAACUUGAGCUAAUACCGGAUAAGCCCUUCGGGGGAAAGAUUUAUCGCCUUUAGAGCGGCCCGCGUUAGAUUAGCUAGUUGGUGAGGUAAAGGCUCACCAAGGCUACGAACUAUAGCUGGUCUGAGAGGAUGAUCAGCCACACUGGGACUGAGACACGGCCCAGACUCCUACGGGAGGCAGCAGUGGGGAAUCUUGCGCAAUGGGCGAAAGCCUGACGCAGCCAUGCCGCGUGAAUGAUGAAGGUCUUAGGAUUGUAAAAUUCUUUUACCAGGGACGAUAAUGACGGUACCUGGAGAAAAAGCCCCGGCUAACUUCGUGCCAGCCGCCGCCGUAACAC
rnacentral:rRNA from 1 species